rnacentral:tRNA from 1 species
ACACUCGUGGUGAAGUGGUUAUCAUGCUUGCCUUCCAAGCAAGCGGCACGGGUUCGAUUCCCGUCGAGUGUA